AGAUGCAGAGAGUGAAUGCUCCAGCCGGGCAGAUGCAGCUGAAGGGCUUGAUUGAGGCUUACGUUGAAAAAACAGGCAGCGAGAAAGGUGCCACGAUUUUGAGAGAAUGGGAGGCAUAUCUGCCACUCUUCUGGCAACUGGUACCACCAAGUGAAGAAGACUCUCCUGAAGCUUGUGCCGAGUUUGAACGAGUACUUGCCAAGCAAGCAACAACAGUACAAUCGGCGAAGUGAUCUACUGCAAUUCCCAAGUGAUCAGAUUAGACAACAGGAAGGUGUUCUUUGGUACUUUCCAGGUGAUUUUUUCCUGGGACCGCAUCAAGGAAAACAAAAUAACAACUGGCAUACUUGUGAAGCACCGAAGUGCCCCCAAAGACUGCGAUUUUGUGGAAGCUCUGCCCAAGGCAUCUUUUGAAACGAAGUUUCACAUGAUCGUGGAGGAUUCUUCUUUGCGCCCUUGCACUUGCACGCCCUAGUUAACCACCCCCCUGUAAAUUGGUUUGCUG
rnacentral:misc_RNA from 1 species